AAAUUGAAGAGUUUGAUCAUGGCUCAGAUUGAACGCUGGCGGCAGGCCUAACACAUGCAAGUCGAACGGUAACAGGAAGCAGCUUGCUGCUUCGCUGACGAGUGGCGGACGGGUGAGUAAUGUCUGGGAAACUGCCUGAUGGAGGGGGAUAACUACUGGAAACGGUGGCUAAUACCGCAUAACGUCGCAAGACCAAAGAGGGGGACCUUCGGGCCUCUUGCCAUCAGAUGUGCCCAGAUGGGAUUAGCUUGUUGGUGAGGUAACGGCUCACCAAGGCGACGAUCCCUAGCUGGUCUGAGAGGAUGACCAGCCACACUGGAACUGAGACACGGUCCAGACUCCUACGGGAGGCAGCAGUGGGGAAUAUUGCACAAUGGGCGCAAGCCUGAUGCAGCCAUGCCGCGUGUAUGAAGAAGGCCUUCGGGUUGUAAAGUACUUUCAGCGGGGAGGAAGGUGUUGCGGUUAAUAACCGCAGCAAUUGACGUUACCCGCAGAAGAAGCACCGGCUAACUCCGUGCCAGCAGCCGCGGUAAUACGGAGGGUGCAAGCGUUAAUCGGAAUUACUGGGCGUAAAGCGCACGCAGGCGGUC
rnacentral:rRNA from 2 species